GAGUUUGAUCAUGGCUCAGGAUGAACGCUAGCGGCAGGCUUAACACAUGCAAGUCGAGGGGUAGCAGGGAGCUUGCUCCGCUGACGACCGGCGAACGGGUGCGUAACGCGUAUAGAAUCUACCUCUUACUAAGGGAUAGCCCAGAGAAAUUUGGAUUAAUAUCUUAUAGUAUACAGACCUGGCAUCAGGAUUGUAUUAAAGGUUACGGUAAGAGAUGACUAUGCGUCCUAUUAGCUAGAUGGUGUGGUAACGGCACACCAUGGCUACGAUAGGUAGGGGCCCUGAGAGGGGGAUCCCCCACACUGGUACUGAGACACGGACCAGACUCCUACGGGAGGCAGCAGUGAGGAAUAUUGGACAAUGGAGGCAACUCUGAUCCAGCCAUGCCGCGUGCAGGAAGACUGCCCUAUGGGUUGUAAACUGCUUUUAUACAGGAAGAAACACUCUCACGUGUGAGAGCUUGACGGUACUGUAAGAAUAAGGAUCGGCUAACUCCGUGCCAGCAGCCGCGGUAAUACGGAGGAUCCAAGCGUUAUCCGGAAUCAUUGGGUUUAAAGGGUCCGUAGGUGGAUGAUUAAGUCAGAGGUGAAAUCCUGCAGCUCAACUGUAGAAUUGCCUUUGAUACUGGUUGUCUUGAGUUAUUAUGAAGUAGUUAGAAUAUGUAGUGUAGCGGUGAAAUGCAUAGAUAUUACAUAGAAUACCAAUUGCGAAAGGCAGAUUACUAAUAAUAUACUGACACUGAUGGACGAAAGCGUGGGGAGCGAACAGGAUUAGAUACCCUGGUAGUCCACGCCGUAAACGAUGGUCACUAGCUGUUCGGACUUCCGGUUUGAGUGCUAAGCGAAAGUGAUAGUGACCCACCUGGGGAGUACGUUCGCAGAUGAACUCAAAGGAUUGACGGGGCCGCACAGCGUGAGCAUGUGUUUAUCGAUGAUACGCGAGACUACAGGCUAAUGUAGAUGGACAGUUUAGAAAUAGACUUUUCUCGACAUUACAGUGCUGCAUGAUGGUCGUCAGCUCUGCCUGAGGUUCAGGUUAGUCCUAUAACGAGCGCAACCCUGUGUAGUGCAGCGAAUCAGUCGAACUUACUACUGCAUGCACCUGUCAGGAAGUGGAAUAACUUUCCA
rnacentral:rRNA from 1 species